UGGGGAAUUUUGGACAAUGGGCGAAAGCCUGAUCCAGCAAUGCCGCGUGUGUGAAGAAGGCCUUCGGGUUGUAAAGCACUUUUGUCCGGAAAGAAAUCCUUGGCUCUAAUACAGUCGGGGGAUGACGGUACCGGAAGAAUAAGCACCGGCUAACUACGUGCCAGCAGCCGCGGUAAUACGUAGGGUGCAAGCGUUAAUCGGAAUUACUGGGCGUAAAGGGUGCGCAGGCGGUUUGCUAAGACCGAUGUGAAAUCCCCGGGCUCAACCUGGGAACUGCAUUGGUGACUGGGCAGGCUAGAGUAUGGCAGAGGGGGGUAGAAUUCCACGUGUAGCAGUGAAAUGCGUAGAGAUGUGGAGGAAUACCGAUGGCGAAGGCAGCCCCCUGGGCCAAUACUGACGCCUACAUGCAGAGAAGCGUGGGGGAGCAAAACAGGAUUAGAUACCCUGGUAGUCCACGCCCUAAACGAUGUCAACUAGUUGUUGGGGAUUCAUUUCCUUAGUAACGUAGCUAACGCGUGAAGUUGACCGCCUGGGGAGUACGGUCGCAAGAUUAAAACUCAAAUGAAUUGACGGGGUCAUAGCUGUUUCCU
rnacentral:rRNA from 1 species